rnacentral:tRNA from 1 species
GCGCCGGUGGUGGCGAACAUCGCUGCCCGGAAAGCAGAAGAUGCGGGUUCGAGUCCCGCCUGGCGCA